GUCCGCAAGGGCGCUAUACAGGUGGUGCAUGGUUGUCGUCAGCUCGUGUCGUGAGAUGUUGGGUUAAGUCCCGCAACGAGCGCAACCCUCGUUCUGUGUUACCAGCAUUUAGUUGGGGACUCACAGGAGACUGCCGGGGUCAACUCGGAGGAAGGUGGGGAUGACGUCAAAUCAUCAUGCCCCUUAUGUCUUGGGCUGCACGCAUGCUACAAUGGCCGGUACAAAGUGCUGCGAGAUCGCAAGAUUGAGCGAAUCACAUAAAGCCGGUCUCAGUUCGGAUUGAGGUCUGCAACUCGACCUCAUGAAGUCGGAGUUGCUAGUAAUCGUAGAUCAGCAACGCUACGGAGAAUACGUUCCCGGGUCUUUG
rnacentral:rRNA from 1 species